rnacentral:misc_RNA from 1 species
AGAGCGUCCGAUACGUUGAGAGAACGACGCUGCCUCGGAUUACCUCUCGGCCGCCAACGUCGAAAGUGAUCACCGGCCUGCCCUAUUCGAGUCGCAGAGUGUAUUAGGCAGCGGAGCAAAGCAAGAAUUCGGAGAAGACUUCAGUGUCAAGGAUAAGAGCGCGAGAAUCGAUCAGGAUCGAAUACCGUCUCAGCACAGGCGUCCGGCACGAUGAGGCUCCGUGGCGCAAUCAAACAAGUCGACUUCAAGUCUAGCAUGGGAGUUAUCAUACCGAGCUUAAAUUCUCUAGAAUAUGACGAGGAAGUGGAGCUUCCCUUUUACUUCGAGAGUCUCAGCAUGCCGAAUUCUGAGAAGCCGUACCUCGUCGCGGGACUCCAGGUAUUUUUUCAGUCGCCCAGAGUCGAGGUGGAAUCGACGUUGUCGAUAUUUCUCCAGCCGUCGUCGGGCGUUAUCGAGCAAGGUGCAUCCUGAGCGGGAGCCUACAAGUUUUCAUCCCAGAUCUUCAAAUCGCAGCGGAAAUCAAAGAGUCGUCCACGUUUGACCUCGGUGGUGCGGACUACUUCCAAAGGAAUGAUGAAAUUUUGGUUAUGUUGAGAUGGGAAGAAAUACUCGCUUCGCAGUCAGAGCAACGAGUACCGCAGGUUGAGGCUUGUGCGUCGCUCAUGGCGCGCGGUUAUCCGUUCCUCAC